UAUUUUCUUAAUUCCUUCUUCCAAAAUGGU
rnacentral:piRNA from 1 species